AGGGAUAAUAGAUAUGAUGAAAACUGCUUGUUGUUGAUAGGUAUCAGCCGUUACUAAGCGAUCACGAUGUAUCCAUAGACGAUAGAAUGACGGGGUUUAGUGUUCUCUCAAGCAUCAAGGGAUAAUACAUAUGAAGAAAGCUGCUUGUUGUUAUAGGUAUCGGCCGUUAUUAAGACAGUAGAGUAGCCGAUCUUUUCAGAAGUUCAUUUCGAGGAUUUUAUGAGGAGUUCAUGACUUGUUUGAUUAGAAUCAAUCUACAGAGCUGCUGAUUGAAGGUAAAAUGUAUCAAACAGGUUAUAUUUUCUCUCUCUUUGUUUUGUCUAGAUAUAUACUGCCAAAUAUGAUUCUCGUUCCUAAAUGGUUUGUGUUUGUUGUCUUUUAUCCAGUAAUGAGAGUUUAGAGAAUAAUUGAUUUACUCUCAACAGAAGGAGAGAGUAAAUAAAAUUAUUCUCGUUACGAAAAUGACUGGGUUUACGGUAUUGGUUUUAGUUCAGUAACUUGCUCGUGUAUUUCAUGCGUUUGUGUAGUGGGGUAUAUAUACCGAGUGUAACUUGUUUUUCACCAUCUAGAGAAGACUAUUUGGCAGUACACAUUUAUUUCUCAUGCCCACCCUUCCCUCCCUGGAAUCGGUUUUUAAACUUUAAAUUUCAAUUGUGAAAUAAUUUUAAGUAGAUAUCUAUACGCAGUCGAAGAAAAUGGGACAGUAUUUUAAUAUAUAUUUUUUAAGGAAGAUGUUUGUAUGAAUGUGUAUAAUGUUUUAUAUAUGAUAAUAGCUUAUUCUCAAAUCAAGGGAGUACUCUGAAUAGAGCGCGAUUCACAGUUUAUAAAUAUGUUUGGAGUGAACUCCAUUUAAAUAUGGUCUUUUUUGUAGAUUCCUUGUCCUAGCGGAUUGACAGAAAUAUUGUACGCAACACUUGAUUAAAUGUAUAAUCGAACAUAGUUAUUCAAGUCCUUUUAGCUUUUCAGAUUUAUCCAUCGGAUAAGAUACAGACCAAUACAGACCAUACAAGUCAAUACAGACAGUCAAGCAAGAGAAGAGGAGAGGUCUGGGCUCGAUGUCCCGCUCAGUGAAAUUUAUUUGUAUAGAUAUAUACUGCCAAAUAUGAUUCUCGUUCCUAAA
rnacentral:lncRNA from 1 species